UACGGGGGGGGCAAGCGUUGUUCGGAAUUACUGGGCGUAAAGGGCUCGUAGGCGGCCAACUAAGUCCGACGUGAAAUCCCAAGGCUUAACCUUGGAACUGCGUCGGAUACUGGAUGGCUCGAGUGUGGGAGAGGGAUGCGGAAUUCCAGGUGUAGCGGUGAAAUGCGUAGAUAUCUGGAGGAACACCGGUGGCGAAGGCGGCAUCCUGGACCAUAACUGACACUGAUAAGCGAAAGCCAGGGGAGCAAACGGG
rnacentral:rRNA from 1 species